UACGUAGGGGGCAAGCGUUGUCCGGAAUCAUUGGGCGUAAAGCGCGUGUAGGCGGCUCGAUAAGUCUGCUGUGAAAGUUCAGGGCUCAACCCUGAAAUGCCGGUGGAAACUGUCGAGCUAGAGUCCGGAAGAGGCGAGUGGAAUUCCUGGUGUAGCGGUGAAAUGCGCAGAUAUCAGGAGGAACACCAAUGGCGAAGGCAGCUCGCUGGGACGGUACUGACGCUGAGACGCGAAAGCGUGGGGAGCGAACCGG
rnacentral:rRNA from 1 species